AACGAACGCUGGCGGCAGGCCUAACACAUGCCAGUCGAGCGAUGCCUGCGGGUCUAGCGUCGCACGGGUGAUUAACGAGUGGGAACGUGCCCUUUUCUACGGUAUCUCCUCGGGAAACUGAGCGUAAUACCGCAUACGCUCUUUGGGGGUAAGAUUUAUCGGUGAAGGAGAGGCCCGCGUUGGAUUCGGUAGCAGGUUUGGUAAUGGACUACGCAGCGUACGAGCCAUAGCUGGUUUGAGCGGCUGAUCAGGCACACUGGGACUGGGACACGGCCCAGACUCCUACGGAAGGCAGGAGUGGGGAAUCUGAGACGACGGGGGCGACCCUGAUCUAGCCAGGCCGCGUGAGUGUUGUAGGCCUGAGGGUUGUAAAGCUCUGUCAGCUGGGAAGAUAAUGACGGUACCAGCAGAAGAAGCCCCGGCUAACUCCGUG
rnacentral:rRNA from 1 species